GAUGAACGCUGGCGGCGUGCCUAAUACAUGCAAGUCGAGCGAAAAGACGAGGAGCUUGCUCCUCUGACGUUAGCGGCGGACGGGUGAGUAACGCGUGGAUACCCUACCUAUCAGACUGGGAUCACUUCGGGAAACCGGAGCUAAUACCGGAUAAUAUCUUGAACCGCAUGGGUGGAUGGUGAAAGACGGUUUUGCUGUCACGUAUAGAUGGAUCCGCGCUGGAUUAGAUAGUUGGUAAGGUCAAGGCUUACCAAGGCAACGAUGCGUAGCCGACCUGUGAGGGUGAUAGGCCACACUGGAACGGAGACACGGUCCAGAGUCCUACGGUAGGCAGCAGUAGGGAAUCUUCCGCAAUGGGCGAAAGCCUGACGGAACAACGCCGCGUGAGAGAUGAAGGUGUUCGGAUCGUAAAACUCUGUUAUGAGUGAAGAACAAAUGUGUAAGUAACUAUGCACGUCUUGACGGUACUUAAUCAGAAAGCCCCGGCUAACUACGUG
rnacentral:rRNA from 1 species